GGAGCAGGAAUAGUGUGUAUCGAGGUUGUGCAAACUUUCCAGUGCACUCUGUUAGUUUCCUUCAAAAUUGAUUUGGUGAAGGUGGACAGUUGUGCUUCAUAUCUAUAUUUGAUUCUUUUGGACAAUCAUCUUCCCCAUAUUC